GAUGAACGCUGGCGGCGUGCCUAAUACAUGCAAGUCGAGCGAAUGACGAGGAGCUUGCUCCUCUGAUUUAGCGGCGGACGGGUGAGUAACACGUGGGUAAUCUGCCUGUAAGACGGGGAUAACUCCGGGAAACCGGGGCUAAUACCGGAUAACAAAAGAAGAUGCAUAUCUUCUUUUUGAAAGUCGGUUUCGGCUGACACUUACAGAUGAGCCCGCGGCGCAUUAGCUAGUUGGUGAGGUAACGGCUCACCAAGGCGACGAUGCGUAGCCGACCUGAGAGGGUGAUCGGCCACACUGGGACUGAGACACGGCCCAGACUCCUACGGGAGGCAGCAGUAGGGAAUCUUCGGCAAUGGGCGAAAGCCUGACCGAGCAACGCCGCGUGAGCGAUGAAGGCCUUCGGGUCGUAAAGCUCUGUUGUUAGAGAAGAACAAGUACGAGAGUAACUGCUCGUACCUUGACGGUACCUAACCAGAAAGCCACGGCUAACUACGUGCCAGCCGCCGCAGUAAAAC
rnacentral:rRNA from 1 species